GAUGAACGCUAGCUACAGGCUUAACACAUGCAAGUCGAGGGGCAGCAUGAUGAAACUUUCGGGUUUCAUUGAUGGCGACCGGCGCAAGGGUGCGUAACGCGUGAGCAACUUGCCCUUAUCAGGGGGAUAACCGGUGGAAACGCCGACUAAUACCCCAUAGUAUCAACUUUAGGCAUCUUUAGUUGAUUAAAGAAUUCGGAUAAGGAUAGGCUCGCGUGACAUUAGCUAGAUGGCGGGUAACGGCCACCAUGGCGACGAUGUCUAGGGGUUCUGAGAGGAAGGUCCCCCACACUGGAACUGAGACACGGUCCAGACUCCUACGGGAGGCAGCAGUGAGGAAUAUUGGUCAAUGGCCGAGAGGCUGAACCAGCCAUGCCGCGUGAAGGUCACGGCCCCAUGGGUCUUAAACUUCUUUUGUAAGGGAGCAAAUAAGGUUCACGUGUGGACUGAUGAGAGUACCUUACGAAUAAGCAUCGGCUAACUCCGUGCCAGCAGCCG
rnacentral:rRNA from 1 species